UUUAAAAAUAUUUUUUAAAAAAUAGUGAAUAACAGCAAAUCCUGGCAAGGAUGCAGAGACACCAGAGCACCCACACUUGCUGGUGAAAAUGUAAAAUGGUACAGCCACUCUGGAAAAAAUUUGGCAGUUCCUUAUCAAACUGAAAAUGUACUUAUCAUAGGACCAAGAAAACGCAACCAUGGGCAUUUCCAGGACACAAACAAAAACUUGUUUUUAGACAGAAUUUUAUAUACAAAUGUUCAUAGCAGCUUUAUUUGUAAUAACCCCAAACAGAAAACUACCCAGAUGUCCUUUAAUGGUGAAUGGUUGGAUACAUUGCGGUACAUCCAUAUUAUAGAAUACUACCCAGCAUUACAAAGAACAAUCUACUGACACAUGAAACAACUUGAAAGAAACUCAAAUAAAUUAUCAAUUUUAAAAAGUAAGUCAAUCUUUAAAAGGUACAUACUAUAUGAUUCCAUGUAUAUAACAUUUGUGAAAUAACAAAAUUACUAGCAAAAGUUUUGCUCCUCGUCCCCAAUACCUUAUGCUCUGCUGGCCUAGAGGUCUUAGUUCCAGAGGGAGGAAUGCUGCCGCCAGGAGACACAGAGAUGAUCCAUUGCACUGGAAGUUUAGGCUGCCACCCGGCAGCGCCAAGCUCCUCAUGCCUCUGGAUCAACAGGUAAAGAAGGAGUUCCUGCGCUGGUGGGGGUGGCUGGUCCAGACCACCAAGGAGAAACUGCCCUGCUGCUUCACAACGGACUGGGGAAGAGCAUGUGUGGGGUAUAGGAGGGCUCUUGGGGAAUGUGCUGUGAUUAAGAUCAAUGGAAAAGCACAACAACCCAAUCUAGGCAGGAUUAGUAAUAGUCCAGAACCUUUGGGAAUGAGGGUUCCCCACCAGGUUAAAAACCACAACCAGCAGAGGCUUCCUGAAGGCAAAGGGAAUACAUACUGGGGAGUGGAAGAACGUAGUUAUAGGACCAUGUGACCAGCUACAGAAACCAGGACUGCAAUUGUCAUGAGUGUUUCCUCUUUAUUUGGUACCAGAGAGAGAGAGAGGGAGAGAGUGUGUGUUUAAAGUUUUGGAAGAAAACAUAGGAAGAAAUCUUCAUCACUUGAGGUUAGGGAAAUUGUUCUUAGACAUGACGCCAAAUGCAUGUAAAAGCAAAAAUCCAUCAAUUAGACGUAAUCAAAAUAAAAAACAUAGCCUGGAAAAAGACACUAUUAAAAAACACUGAAAAGACAGCUAAAGGCUGGGAGAGAAUAUUUGCAAACCACAUAUCCAACAAAGAAAGUAGUCCGGCAUAUAUAAAGAACUCUCAAAAUCAACAGUUAGAAAACCAUCCAAACAAAAGUGGGUAAAAGACUUGGAUCCUCACUGAAGAGGACGCUCUAUGUGGAAGACAGCAAGCCUAUGAGAGACCAUCAACACUAGUCAUUAGGGAAAUGCAAAUCAAAACCACAGUGAGGUGACACUGGAAAGCACUUUGACAGUUCUGUUAAACCACAUAGCCCAGCAGUCCCACAACGAUUUUCCCUGCAAUAAGGAAAAAUUGUGUUCACAUGAAAACCUCUGCACAAAUAUUUAUAGCAACUCUAUCCAUAAUCGCCCAAAUCUGGACACAACCACAUGUCCUCCCAUGGAUGAAGGGGUAACCACCCGUGUCUCCCUGUGCAGGCAAACACCAUUCCACAAUAGAAAGGAACACGCCACUGACACACAGAGCACUGGGGUGGAUCUCAAAAACAUGAUGCUUAGCAAAAGCAGCCAGUUACAGAGAUCCCAUGCUGCGUGUCUCCACUCACGUGACCUUCCCGAGACAACAGUGUGACAGGGAUGGAAGGUGCAUCAGCACUCAGCAGGGUUGGGUGGGGAGGGCUGGACUCCAGCAAGAGGGGUGCAGUUCCUCGGCAUCCUUGAGUGGAACUUUGUACAUGUGAAAAUUCUCAGACCUAAACAGCUCUUUUAAAUGGGACCAGAUGGGGAAAUAAAACUAACAUUUUUGGUCAUCUGUUUCAUAUCAGUCACCACAGGUACAGUUGUGACCUUUGAACAACAAGUGUCCAAACUACAUGGGUCUACCUACAUACAGAUUUUUUUCUUAAAAAAAUUUUUUUUUUUUGAGACGGAGUCUCUCUAUCGCCUAGGCUGGAGUGCAGUGGCGUGAUCUCGGCUUACUGCAAGCUCC
ensembl:lncRNA